rnacentral:rRNA from 1 species
UAAGUUAUUAAGGGCGCACGGUGGAUGCCUUGGCACUAGAAGCCGAUGAAGGACGUUACUAACGACGAUAUGCUUUGGGGAGCUGUAAGUAAGCUUUGAUCCAGAGAUUUCCGAAUGGGGAAACCCAGCAUGAGUUAUGUCAUGUUAUCGAUAUGUGAAUACAUAGCAUAUCAGAAGGCACACCCGGAGAACUGAAACAUCUUAGUACCCGGAGGAAGAGAAAGAAAAUUCGAUUCCCUUAGUAGCGGCGAGCGAAACGGGAAGAGCCCAAACCAACAAGCUUGCUUGUUGGGGUUGUAGGACACUCUAUACGGAGUUACAAAGGACGACAUUAGACGAAUCAUCUGGAAAGAUGAAUCAAAGAAGGUAAUAAUCCUGUAGUCGAAAAUGUUGUCUCUCUUGAGUGGAUCCUGAGUACGACGGAGCACGUGAAAUUCCGUCGGAAUCUGGGAGGACCAUCUCCUAAGGCUAAAUACUCUCUAGUGACCGAUAGUGAACCAGUACCGUGAGGGAAAGGUGAAAAGCACCCCGGAAGGGGAGUGAAAUAGAACCUGAAACCGUGUGCUUACAAGUAGUCAGAGCCCGUUAAUGGGUGAUGGCGUGCCUUUUGUAGAAUGAACCGGCGAGUUACGAUUUGAUGCAAGGUUAAGCAGUAAAUGUGGAGCCGUAGCGAAAGCGAGUCUGAAUAGGGCGUUUAGUAUUUGGUCGUAGACCCGAAACCAGGUGAUCUACCCUUGGUCAGGUUGAAGUUCAGGUAACACUGAAUGGAGGACCGAACCGACUUACGUUGAAAAGUGAGCGGAUGAACUGAGGGUAGCGGAGAAAUUCCAAUCGAACCUGGAGAUAGCUGGUUCUCUCCGAAAUAGCUUUAGGGCUAGCCUCAAGUGAUGAUUAUUGGAGGUAGAGCACUGUUUGGACGAGGGGCCCCUCUCGGGUUACCGAAUUCAGACAAACUCCGAAUGCCAAUUAAUUUAACUUGGGAGUCAGAACAUGGGUGAUAAGGUCCGUGUUCGAAAGGGAAACAGCCCAGACCACCAGCUAAGGUCCCAAAAUAUAUGUUAAGUGGAAAAGGAUGUGGCGUUGCCCAGACAACUAGGAUGUUGGCUUAGAAGCAGCCAUCAUUUAAAGAGUGCGUAAUAGCUCACUAGUCGAGUGACACUGCGCCGAAAAUGUACCGGGGCUAAACAUAUUACCGAAGCUGUGGAUUGUCCUUUGGACAAUGGUAGGAGAGCGUUCUAAGGGCGUUGAAGCAUGAUCGUAAGGACAUGUGGAGCGCUUAGAAGUGAGAAUGCCGGUGUGAGUAGCGAAAGACGGGUGAGAAUCCCGUCCACCGAUUGACUAAGGUUUCCAGAGGAAGGCUCGUCCGCUCUGGGUUAGUCGGGUCCUAAGCUGAGGCCGACAGGCGUAGGCGAUGGAUAACAGGUUGAUAUUCCUGUACCACCUAUAAUCGUUUUAAUCGAUGGGGGACGCAGUAGGAUAGGCGAAGCGUGCGAUUGGAUUGCACGUCUAAGCAGUAAGGCUGAGUAUUAGGCAAAUCCGGUACUCGUUAAGGCUGAGCUGUGAUGGGGAGAAGACAUUGAGUCUUCGAGUCGUUGAUUUCACACUGCCGAGAAAAGCCUCUAGAUAGAAAAUAGGUGCCCGUACCGCAAACCGACACAGGUAGUCAAGAUGAGAAUUCUAAGGUGAGCGAGCGAACUCUCGUUAAGGAACUCGGCAAAAUGACCCCGUAACUUCGGGAGAAGGGGUGCUCUUUAGGGUUAACGCCCAGAAGAGCCGCAGUGAAUAGGCCCAAGCGACUGUUUAUCAAAAACACAGGUCUCUGCUAAACCGUAAGGUGAUGUAUAGGGGCUGACGCCUGCCCGGUGCUGGAAGGUUAAGAGGAGUGGUUAGCUUCUGCGAAGCUACGAAUCGAAGCCCCAGUAAACGGCGGCCGUAACUAUAACGGUCCUAAGGUAGCGAAAUUCCUUGUCGGGUAAGUUCCGACCCGCACGAAAGGCGUAACGAUUUGGGCACUGUCUCAACGAGAGACUCGGUGAAAUCAUAGUACCUGUGAAGAUGCAGGUUACCCGCGACAGGACGGAAAGACCCCGUGGAGCUUUACUGUAGCCUGAUAUUGAAAUUCGGCACAGCUUGUACAGGAUAGGUAGGAGCCUUUGAAACGUGAGCGCUAGCUUACGUGGAGGCGCUGGUGGGAUACUACCCUAGCUGUGUUGGCUUUCUAACCCGCACCACUUAUCGUGGUGGGAGACAGUGUCAGGCGGGCAGUUUGACUGGGGCGGUCGCCUCCUAAAAGGUAACGGAGGCGCUCAAAGGUUCCCUCAGAAUGGUUGGAAAUCAUUCAUAGAGUGUAAAGGCAUAAGGGAGCUUGACUGCGAGACCUACAAGUCGAGCAGGGUCGAAAGACGGACUUAGUGAUCCGGUGGUUCCGCAUGGAAGGGCCAUCGCUCAACGGAUAAAAGCUACCCCGGGGAUAACAGGCUUAUCUCCCCCAAGAGUUCACAUCGACGGGGAGGUUUGGCACCUCGAUGUCGGCUCAUCGCAUCCUGGGGCUGUAGUCGGUCCCAAGGGUUGGGCUGUUCGCCCAUUAAAGCGGUACGCGAGCUGGGUUCAGAACGUCGUGAGACAGUUCGGUCCCUAUCCGUCGUGGGCGUAGGAAAUUUGAGAGGAGCUGUCCUUAGUACGAGAGGACCGGGAUGGACAUACCUCUGGUGUACCAGUUGUCGUGCCAACGGCAUAGCUGGGUAGCUAUGUGUGGACGGGAUAAGUGCUGAAAGCAUCUAAGCAUGAAGCCCCCCUCAAGAUGAGAUUUCCCAACUUCGGUUAUAAGAUCCCUCAAAGAUGAUGAGGUUAAUAGGUUCGAGGUGGAAGCAUGGUGACAUGUGGAGCUGACGAAUACUAAUCGAUCGAAGACUUAAUCA